rnacentral:tRNA from 1 species
GGAUUGUGGCUCAGUGUUAAAGCGCUCAUCUAGCACCGGCGGGACCUGGGUUCGAUCCUCAGCACCA